rnacentral:tRNA from 2 species
GCUGGGGUGGCAGAUUAAUGCAUUAGAUUUAAGCUCUAAAGAUGAGGGUUUUCCUCCCCUGGCU